GCUUGCAGUUGCAGCACCUUUGAUUCUGGGUCCGGCUCAAAGUAAUAAUAAAUGCCAUGGUCCUCCAUGUCCAUGAUACAUACCGCCAUCGCCAUGCUUCUUUUUCCUUUCUCAUCGAUGCAAGUCUGAGACUCCAAGGAGCGAAGACCAUCGUUUUCUCCCGGCUUGCACUGAUGAGUUAUGGAAAGGAAAAGCGAUGGCCACUGAAGUUUCAUUUUUUUAUUUUUUAUUUUUUAUUUUUUUGAUGAGGCCAUGAGACUUGGAUUGUAGUUACAGGAACAUAAUAAAAUCGUGGUUAUAUCUUCUGCCUCUUACAAUGAAAAAUAGAGUUUUCGCUAUAAAAGGAAUGGAAAUAAUAACUGAAAUAUUUGUAUUUUCGGUGUGGAAAACUUACACAAUUUUGUGGAUGGAUAUGGUUUUUUAAUGUGAAUAAAAAAAAAAAUACUUAAAGGGAGUAAUAGGAAUUCUGGAAUUAGGGGGCCCAUUUAGUUUGAUGUGUGAUGUACGAAGUAGAGUUGUAGGGCGAAUCAACAUUCCGUUCCGUGCAAGGGUCUGGCUGUGGCUGCCUGGCUAGUCCUAUCUCCCUCUCACCUUCUUCAACUUGCGUCAAUCCAAUCAACUGCUGCUGUCAUUCAGUUCUGAGUCCGAUUUUCAUUGAGGAUUUGUUAUUUGAGUGGUUUUCUGAACACAUACUCAGGUAUGAUCCGUGUUUUUUCUUCUUGUUUAGAACAUUUUUCUCUUUUCUUUUUCUUGGUCUUCCUUCUGUUGGAGCAUUAAUAGGUUCAUUUAGAUCGAUUGUCCUCUUGAACUCUGUUGCCCUCCGCAUCUCAACUCUGAAGAACUCCGCGUUUUUUUGUUCUUCUUCUACGAAUUGAAGCAGAACGCCCCCACCCCAGCACCACCUCCCCCGACCAACAAAAAAGAUGGAAGUUUUGCUCAGGGAGAUUAUUUUCUUCUCUUUCUUUUUCUUGGUCUUCCUUCUUUAUGAGUACUAAUGGAUUCAUUUGGGUCGAUAGAUCUCUUGAUCUCUAUCCUCCUCCUCUCAACUCUGAAGAACACCUUAUAUUUUUUUUUCUUCUCCCACGAAUCGAAGCAGAACGACCCAAGCACACCUCCACCUACCAGAAAAAGAUAAGAAAAAAGAAGGAAUAAAGAAAAGAUAAAGUUUUGCUCAUUUAUGCUUACAAGGGACCACAGAAUACGUUAUGCCAUCCAGUUGGUGAUCUCGAACUAUAGUUAUGUUUCCCAAACUUUGUGAUGAGGAGGUUCCUUGGAUCUGUUGUCACGAGUCUAAAUUAUGUUCAAGAAGACAAUGUUUGGAAAAAGGAAAUGAAAACCAACAUCCAUACAUAUUUAUGAAAACAGUAUUGAUUUCUAUUGCCUGAAGUUAUCAAAUUGUUCCAUAUUUUGAAAGAUAGUUUGUAGGAAGCAAGAAACAUUGAUAUUGAAGGGAAAAUUUUCCAGUAUUGCACAACUUAGAUUAGGCCUUCUGCAGUCUGGUUUCAGCCAACCAGAUGUUUUUUCUUAACUUUUGGGGUGGGAGUUUUUCAGUCCAUACUAUUUGUGAUUUUUCCCGUUUAGCUAACCAAAUGCUUACUUGUAGAGUUGUAAGAGAGUGUGAUGGCACCUCCUUUUUAUUUUCAUUUAUUUUCUUUUCUUUUUUUUUUUUUUGUUUUGGUGCUGGGUGGGUGACCCUUAGAUUGAUUUGGAUAUGGUUUCUCCAGUUUUCAUUGUCUUGUUUAUCCACCAGAGAACAAUAUGAAGCAUGAACAGAUCGGACAGGAUCAUAUCACAAGCAACAAUAGUAGAGCAUCAGAAAGUGCUGGAGGUGAUGACCAAUUCAUUCACUUCAGAUUUGGGAGUUACUAUUUUCAAUUACAGAAGAUGAGGCUUUGGCUUCCAUGGACAAGUUGCAUCCUUUUCCUUGUGCAGAAUUUGGUUGAGUUAACUUCUGGGGUUAGUAUGCCAAUCAUAUUACCAAGAUUGAGUGUCAUAUGUAAACUCCAAAAUUUUAAUCAUUAUUGCAUCCUCAAUCAAUUGUAAGAUUCCAUUACUAUCCUAUUGUCUACUUGGUUUCCAGAUUACAAGACACUACAAUUGGUUCUGAUAGUUCAUGCAAAUAUGCGUUGCAGCCCUUGUGGAAUUUUUGUUUAUGCCUCUUGCCUUAGGUCUUUACGUUUUGGAUUUAAUUCCAACUAGUACACUUCAUAAAAAUCUGUCAUUGGUAUAGGGCCCUGCAUCUGUUUUGAUCAUACCAUGUUCAAAACGUCCCUUUGAAGGUGAUCAAGAGUAAGAUAGGAUGUUACUUGGAAUUGCUCCAUACAAAAACCCUUUUAUGUGGUAAGCAUUUAUUGGGGAUAUGGGUCCUUCUCCACAUGGAGAAAAUAUAAAGCGUUUGUUGAGUGUUGAUGUUCCCUUCUUAUGAAAUAUAGUUUCACAUCUAGAUUAUUUUUGGUAACAAAGCAAAAGCAAUAAAGGCAAAGUACAUGACUAGGGUGCAGAUUUAGAUUUAUUACGAGGUUACUGGUAAUUUAUGUUCUCCUUGGUGCUUGAAUUACCUUAUUGCAAGUGUAUCAUGCAAAGGGUGCAUAUUCAUUCAAGGGUCUCCAAUUUUAAAUCAAACAUUGGACAACAAGAUUAUGACAUUUAUUUAUUGUAAUUGAUAUCGAUAUAAUUUGUCUCAGAGAGAUGACAGACAGCAAACAUGUAUAGAAAAACAUGUUUUACAAGACUUGAACCUGAAUCACUUGAAUGGAGAUCAGAAAAAUGACCUUUAAACCACAACCAAUACACAUGUUACGGUAUGUAAUAUUAUAUAUAUAUAUAUAUAUAUGUAUAUAUAGAUAGAUAUAUGAUAUCAUGGGUCACUGGGUCAACUCAGUGGUUGAACUGCUUAACCUGUGACCUGGUGGCCUUUCUGGUUUUAUGAACAGUCCAACUCUUACAAUAUUGCUAUCACUUAUAGAGAACAACAUUUCUGUCAAUUGUAAAAACCCAUUUUGAGCUUUUUAUUGGACACUGAAACCCAAAAAAAAGGCCUGAGAAUGAGGAAAAAAACUUGGUGCAGAUGCUAUUUCAAGUUGUUUGUUUAAUGGCUUCAAUAGACAGGCACAGAUUGCUUUCUUCCAGAAGAAAAUGUUGUUAUGGUACAAACUAAAAAUGAUGUCUGUUGCAUUAUAUUAUGUUCUCAAAUAGCUUAAUUCUUUGGAAGUUAUCGUAUGGAUGCGUAAAUGUUUAUUGUCAUGAUAGUUACUUCCAUAAACUGUAUUUAUUAAGGAUGCAAAGGAUGGGAUCUAUUCACAUGGUGGAAACAAAUCAGAAAGGAGAUAUUACAGGGGAACUGAACCAUCUUUUUACAUGCCAUGGGGCAAUAGUGAUGGGAUCAAGGUUGAACUUCCCAUGAUUACAUUUUUUAUUUCCUCGGGCAGUUUGUUAUCAGUUCCUUUAAGCCACUCAGAAAUUGGACUUGUGACUGGGAACAUGAUGGUUCCAGGGACUAUUCUGUUGUCAGCACUUCACAUUUAUUCUAUUGUCAAGCAGGUUGCUUCAGAGAUCCCUAAAUAUGGGCUUCUUAUGAGGUGUCACUAGGGAUCCCUAAAUGUUGGCUUCAGAGAUAUUGUAAGUGAUGCUAGCAAGGAUUGUUUUCUUUUGAGCUCUUACAUUUAUCUCCAUUGUUAGGUGCGUGGCUUCAGGGUUCCUACUUGGGGAUUUCUUAUGUGGGAUUCUAAAGAGUUAUUUUAUCUUGCCUUCCCUUCCUUUUUUUCCUAUUAUAACUUAUCUUAAAAUGUGCUAUGUUUGUGAUUCUAACUCAUCAUCAUCAUCAUCCAUGCCUUAUCCCAACUAUAUGGGGCUGGCUACAUGAAUCCUGUUUCGCCAAUCAUUCUAUUUAAAGCUAGUUUGUAAUUCUAACUCAUAUCUGGGAAAAAUGUUGAUAACCGUUUGUAAGAAUUAUUUUUCUUUCUUCAAAAAUGGAUCAGUUUGAAGACAGUUAAAAUGAUUUCUGGGAAAGGAAAGUUUGGUGCUUGGUUUUUAGGAGGGAGUGGUGGAAUUUUGUGGUUCAUUCUCAUGCCCUUCCCUGUCAGUUGAAGAAACAUUUAUUUUGAUUAAGAGGAAUGCACACAUCUACAAUUGGUACUACAAUAGGCAUAUUCUAUGUUCCCUCCUUUCAGUUGGCUUUGGUCAGCACUAUAAGAAUACAUCAACUUUGGAGAGAGUCUCAUUCCCAUCAGGGAAUCAUCUAUUUGAUUUUAGAGAAAAAUAGCAGCAAGCUCACUCUUUAAAUCCAAAAAUCAAGUUAGUAGACUUUGAAAGAUGUUGCAGACAUAUCAUGGAUAAUGGCAAAACAAAGGCCCAACGGUGACUCGUACAUUGUUGAAAUUCCAUGUUGGUUCCUCUACACACACCUGCAAAGUUCGGACUUCUAAGGUGAUAGAGAUUAAUAGCACCAGACUUAGGCUAUAAGAGACAUAGGAUACAGAUAUCUUCCAAAAUCUGGUAAAAUUAGACUAGAAAAUUCAAGUGAAUCACAGAAUUGUAGACCAGAUGCUUUGUAUAUGGAACAGAGGUCACUGAUCUUGCUAACCUCAUAGUAAAUGUCCUGCUAAGAUAAGUCUUUGCAUUUGAUAAUAUUCUUUACAGUGAUAAACAACUAGAUUUUCAAUUGUAAGAAAUGAUGUAAUUAAAGUAUUUAAGGUAACCCAUAACCCUCACUGUCAGGAAAACUUUGGCUGUUAGGAACAUUCUUGCGCAUGACACGUUACCAUGAAUGUGAGGUAAAAGAGUAAUUGUCCUCAAUGUUCUUUUGACCAAAAAGACAAGCAAGGGACUGAAUGGGUUGACGUGUCAUGCCCAAGAACAUUCACAACAGCCCAGGCUGUUGGCCCCCAACAGCCAAAGUUUUCAGCUCAUUGUCCAAUGCAACUUAUAGUUAUCUACAAAAUAAGAAAGGGGAAAAUUCUUUCCUUAUUUGAAGGUCCAAAUUUUUGCAAUGAAAUCUAUCUAUCCAAUAACACAUAAUUCUAGACUGAUAUCUUUUUCUUGUGUCAUUUAAAGGUCCAGAUCAUUCGGAUCUAUACACCAUCAUGUGUUUCAGUGUCCAACACCAAUAUGAAGUGUUCAAAACAGAUUUUGCGAAACUAAAAACUAAGUCAAGUCCAUAUUAUUUAUUUUUUUUAAUUAUUAUACAUCCUUGGAAAAUGCCUUUUGCUCACAUACCAAUAAAUAUACUUGAAUGAACUGAUGCACACACACAAAAAAAAAACUAUGAAUGGUAUACAAGUAGUUCUAGGAACCCUUUGCUUAUCUGAAUCUUACUUUUGCUGAUAUGGUGAAGUAUAUGUGCAUUAAAUGGAACUUACCUAUCAUAUAGAUUUGAAGAGACAUCUCUAAAUCCGAAAGGUCUUUUGUUGAACAGAGGGCUUCCAGAGUGGUCAUUGUGUAACAACUGGGUAGAAAAGUCUUUCCAUGUUGGAUUAAUUUCCUAGUUUAUAGGCAUUUGUAUGUGUUUGCCAGCAGCUUUUGGGAGAGAACUUUUGGUAGUUUUCUUCUUUGUAACUUUGACGUAGUGGAUCUGUAAAUGAUUUUUUUGCUUGAUUUCUCAUGUAAAGUUGGGACUACUCAUACUUCAUAGCUUCAUCUUUCCUUUAAAUUAUUUAACACUUACUUUUAUCUGUAUAAUGUCAUAGUACUUAUUCAAAUAAGUACAUAUUAGUGUUUGGGAGGUCUUUUCUCAAAUCACUUCUACUUAUUUUAAAUACUCAUUUGUGUUGCAGUGUUUGGUGAGCCACUUAUCUCUUAAGUACUUGUAUUUUUGCAGAAAUGACAAUUAUAGCCUAACUUAACAGUCAUAUAUUGGAUAAAUACAAAGACAAAUAAAAAAUAUAAAUAAAUACUUUUCCCAUAACUGAACCUGUUUCCAUGUUCACCACUGCAGUGGUGUGAGGAAGAGAGGAGGAAAGAAAGAAAAAAAGAGGAGAGAGAGAGAGAGAGGAGGGGGAAGAAGAAAGAGAUAAAUAAAUAAAAGGAGAGAGAGACAGUGGUGGUUCUGGAAAGACUCAGUUAUGACGGUAGAAGGAACAAGAGGAGAGAGAGAGAGAGAGAGAGAGAAGUGAACAGUAAUCUUCUUUUAAAGAUAGGGACAGUCCCUGGAGAAUGAACAAAACAUUGGGGACAGUCUUGUUCCAGAAAAAGAAAUAAGUACUCAUUGAAUAAGCACUUAAAGCCACACAAUUCUGGCUUAUUUUUGAAAUGCUUGUUUUCAAAAUAAGCACUUAUUCUGGGUUUUUUUUCCAAACAUGAAUAAGUGCUUAUUUUUCACUUAUUGUGUGGUCCCACCAUUUAAAAUAAAUACUUAUUCGAAUAAGCACUUAUUUUAAGUGCUCCCAAAAAGGGGCUCAGAUAGAUUACAUUUAGCUUCCUAACAAUGUUCUUGUAUCAUAUAUCAAUGUUCUCAUAUAUUAAGUGUAUCCAUCUUUUGUAGUUGACUGUGACUGGUCAUGUUGGCACUAAGGAUGACUUUGAAUUUUGGGGAAUUUUUCAUUAGAUGUUAGCUGUAUUACUAACAUAAAUAAUUUGAAUAUUAAUAAUUUGGACCUGUUCUGUUUCCAUUAUUUUGUCAACAGUAUUGAGUAUUUUAUCACUUGCCUCUAAAUUGGACCUGACCCAUUUUCUGUCUUAUGUUUUACCAACUUAUUUUUGGCACCUGUUAUGUUCAAUUCCUCCCUACUAUCUCUUGAUGCAAACAUUUUCCAUUAUCAAAUCUUAACUUGGGUUGACCUCACAAACUUCUAGAUUGCAUCCCUUAUCUAACUUCUUUCUCGAAAUUCUUGUUCUCCAUACAACCUCUCUUAUUUUUCAUUAUCUUCCCACAUGAUCAUUAGGAUCCUUUAAAUUGAUGCUUCUAUAUUUACCCAAAAUUGUGCUUUUUGUUGCUUUCCUCUCAUUUUACCUGAAGCUUUGUGCUCUGGAACAUCAGAUAUUACCCAACUUCAGCCUAUAUCUUUUUCUCUCAAUAUCAAUAGUCUUAUGACUUUUAUCCUUCAAUUGUAUGUCCGCACCCCUCUGUUUCAUUUAAAUGGUUUUUCCUUUAAUUUAUACCAACUGUCCUUAAUACUCUUAUUUCCACUUCAUAUCUGCAAAACAUGCUAUGUACUACUCAUUUUGCUCUGAGCCACCAAUUCCUUUCUCUUGUUAAAAUUUCUAUACAUUAGUGAUGAGGAGAAUAUCAUAUAAUAAACAUUCCCCUCAUCUACCUCUCUAAAUGGAAAUCUAAUUUUUUGUCAAUUGCUUUUCCUGCAACACUGUACUAUUGCAGCGCAUUUUUCCUAGGGAUUUUUUACUGCAGUCCCAUGAAUAUUUGGCAUUGGCUAAACAGAGAAGCCUAGCAUGUCUAAGAAACAGAGCCUGAACAUUUUGAAGGAUUGGUCAACAGUGUCUUGGUAGCUCAAACAGAAAGUAACCCUGGUGCUUCACACAGACCUGGAACUGCUAUCUGUGCAUAUUUUCUUGGGAAAUGCCCUACUAGAAUUGGUGUUUCCCUGGGCUCUGGCCAUGCAAACAAAGCAGCUUCAGUGUAUUUUAGGCCAAUGAUGCUAUCUAUGAGAUGACAGGAUGGGUAUUGGGUAGCAAAUUACACUGAGACAAGUGAUUCUUAUCCUUUGCCAAGGCCCAAGCAGGUAUUAGUGUUUUUGGCAGGACAAAAAAAAAUGCUUCAAGGUUCACAUUUCUACUGGUUAUUGGCAUUUUGUUUUAUCAUUAAAUUUCUGCCCACUUUGCCAA